rnacentral:rRNA from 1 species
AUGGCUUUAGUACGUGAUCUUUGGUUGCCAAGUAGUUUGGGCACGAUGACAGGGCCAAUUUGGCCAUCUAUUGAGGCCGAAAAUUUUGAGUUGAGGCCUGGACUUAUUGCUCUCGUCUUGCAGAAUCAGUUUAGAGGAUUACCCAAUGAAGACCCUCAUGAGCACAUUUGUAAUGUCCUGGAGUAUGCCAAUACUAUCCAGUACCAUGGCGUUUCCCAAGAUGUUAUCAAGUGUAUGUUGUUCACAUUCUCUCUCAGAGAUGCUGCUAAGGACUGGUACUAUUCUUUGCCAUCAAGAUCAUACACUUGGGGUGAUAUUUCGCAAGCUUUCCUGCACAGAUAUUUUCCACUUUACAAGCAAGCUGUAAUUCGUGACCAGAUCCUCAGUUUUGCGCAAGAUGGAAGUGAGAGCUUGUAUGCAGCUUGGGAGAGAUAUAAGUAUUUGCUUAGAAAAUGUCCUAAUCAUGGGCAAAAGGAUUGGUUAGUGCUCCAGAUAUUCUAUAGAGGGCUGACACAUGCUUCGAGAGAUCUUAUUGAUAUGUCUGCUGGUGGAACAAUCAUGAACAAGACCGUUGAGGGUGCAAUUAUUCUCAUUGAGAGCAUUGCCUUCCACCAAAUGCAAGGGGGUUAUGAAAGGCCUAGUUCAAAUCCGAAGGUUGCAAGCCAUCUGCAAUCAGAAGCUGUGUGUUCCGUAAGUGAACAGAAAUCAUCCAUGGUGCCUAAUAUUCAAAACCAGCAUGUUCCAUUCCGGGGACAACAACAUUUCAGAGCUGAAUUAGAUCCUCCAUGUAGAAAGAUUGAUCUUACUUCAAGUAUCCUUGAUGAUGAUUAUGAUAUUUUUCAAGAUGAUGCAACCAUUGUAGAUCAGAUGGAAACCACAGUAGCAGAUCCAAUACCUCAUGGCAAUGAAACUGUCCAGACUGAGUCAAAGUUGCAAGAAGAUGUUUAUGAGGAACCUACUCUGAUUGAUGCUAAGUUGAGAUAA